CUUUUUCUUUACAUUUAUACUGCAUCUCUAUUUUGUUUUUAUUUUUUAUCUUUUUUUAUUUUUUUUUUACUUAUUUAGUUCUUUUUCUUUUCCUUUCGUUCUUUUUUUCAAUCCUUUCUCCUUCAGCGAUGCAGCAGUUGUCAAGCUCUAGAUUGACGUUUCUAAGGCUAGGGAGUCGAUUGAUGGUGGUGGCUUGGCCUGACAGUUGCUGGUUUUGCCGAAAAAUGAAAGUGUCGCCGUCUAGUAAAGAAAUGUUGCAACUCCAGCCACCAAGAGCUUAGGUGAACGAGACGAUGUUAGCUGGUGGUUUGAGGUUGAACGACGACGAUAAGAGUGGUGUCUACCGUUCAGUUGGCUCUUGAUUUCUCAUCACCUAUAUGAGAGAAACUACUAGGUUGGCUGAGGAAAUACGUUGCCUUUUUAAAUGACGAUUAACCAAAACUUCAAGUUUUGGAGGUUAGGCAAAGGGAAUUUUCCUUGAAUGUAUUAAAUAUUUUCUUUUUUCUUGAAGCUAUGUCUUGACUUUUCUUCCAA